AUUUUUUUGAGGAAUCUUCAUACUGUUUUCCAUAGUGGUUGAAACAAUUUACAUUCUCACCAGUAGUGCAUGAGGGUUCCCUUUUCUCCACAUCCUUGCCAACACUUGUUAUUUCUUGUCCUUUUGAUAUUAGCUAUUCUGACAGGCAUAAGGUGGUGUCUCAUUGUGGUUUUGAUUUGAAUUUCCCUGAUUCUUAGUGAUGCUGGGCAUCUUUUCAUGUGGACCUACAUUUGAAUACCAACCUUAUCAUUUAUUUAGCUGUAAAACUUCAGGCCAAUAAAUUUCUAUGAGCAUCCGUUUGCCUACCUAUAAGAUCACAGUAAAAAAAGUAAAAUGCAUGUCCUAUCAGAGCUGCUAUCAGGAGGAUUUCAGAUUAAAGCACUUGGCAGUGUCUUGCUCAUAGCCUAAUUCUUUUGAGUUGAAAUCUUAAAGAAGGUAUUUUAAAUCACAGAACACUGCUAUCUAAGACAGAGGAGAGAAUUCGGUUUUAGAACGAAGAUGUAGGUGGCUGGAUCUGACCUGUGGGCUCAAGAGGAAUAAUUACUCUCCCAACUUGUGUUUCCCAAAAUGUGUUACACAUUUUGAUUUGUUGGAUUUUUCUCAGAGAAAAGAAAUAAGAGUGGCAAUGGUGAAGAGAAAGGAAACAAGAUGGGGAAAUUGACAAGGGGAGAGAUACCGACUGAAAUAAUGAUGAAUGAAAGAACAAACAGAGCAUGGCACCAAAAACAGAGAAGCUGAGGGGGUGCUUUGUCAAAAUGAGGGAAGAAACCAAGAGGAAGGCAUGAGAUGCUGGCACCAGGGAUUCCAACUAGUGUCGCAAAGGAAUAAAGUGUUCCAAAACCCAGACACGAGCUCUCCACAGGGGAGUAGAUGCACUGUAGUUAUUUUAAGGAGAAAGAGUGUCCAUCAUCUCGUGCCUGGGAGACCUGUUGCCAUCUUCUCAGCGGCUGUAGCUGUUGGAAUAGUCGUGUCUGCAGUCCCCAGGGCAGUGUGGUGCACAUGAGGAGAGACCAGAAGUUGUUAUCCAGAGAAGCUGAACUGAAGGUGCUCUGGACUCCAGGACACUGGUCCACGCGGAGGGUGACAGGGAGGCGGCAGCACUUGGGUCAGGCCACUGGCCUUCCUCAGCCUCAGGUUCCUUAUCUACCUUGCAAACCUGAAGUGAGGAUUCAACAUAAUUUCUGUGAAGGGCUCAGCACAGAAUAAAUGCUCAAUAAAUGAUAGCCAUUAUAGUUUUUUUAAGUGUAUUUAUUUUGAGAGAGAGAGAGAAUAAGCAGGGGAGGGGCAGAGAUUGGGGGAGAGAGAGAAUCCCAAACAGGCUCUAC